rnacentral:lncRNA from 1 species
CAUUACUUUAAUAAAACUGGAUGAUUAUACCACUUUCAUGUGUUGUUAUAAAGUAUUAACCAACUCAAAGUCUGGCUAAAGCUUAAUAUACAUGCAUGAAUAAAGACCACCCUGAUUUAUAAUACAUAUACGUACGUACCUUUCUGUAUGAUACCAUAUAUAGAUCAUGAUUAGAUCUUUCCUUAACUAAAAACCACUGACCACCUCAUGUAUACCAAGGAAUGCAUGGAUCUCACACUUAUAGAGCUCUUGUGAAGGACCCGAAUCCCUGCAAUAUCAUGGGGAAAAAAACCAAGAAAGAACAAAAUCAUAAUCUACAAGACGAUUUCUGACUUAUAAAGUUGUCACUAACUUAUCAUUUGUUAAAUAAAAUUG